rfam:Weeksella virosa DSM 16922, complete genome.
UAACCUCUGACGAAAGACGUGAAUGUUG